rnacentral:lncRNA from 1 species
ACCCCAAUAAUUUUUCGAAGGAUAAUCCUGAGAGGUAAUUUUUUUGUACAGGAGCUUGACAACUUGAGUGCUGAGGAGCGAACGCGGUUGCCUCCGCUCUACCAGAGCCAUGGAGACGAAGACACGCUGGUGCUGCCGUCCUGGGGCUUGCAAACACACGCAGAGCUCAAACGGAGAGGGGUUGAAGGCGAGUUUGUGCGCGUACGGGACUGCGAGCACGCUUUGCACCAAGACGCGCUCCUACCGCUGCUCGCAUGGAUUUCUGAACGGCUGGGGUGACAUAAAUGGACGAGGAGGGAUAAUUUAAACCAAUGACAAGGUAACGGCGCAGCUGCGGACUGGAGCUGCAGACUAAGUUUAUACCGGCGCAGGACAGGCAUGAGGAGAAGCAAAGUUGCUGCCGUCGUCACGGCCGUGGUGACGAAGAGCACGAGUUCUAAGUGGUCACUGUCUCCCACGGGUAUGGACAGCACCAACCCUUCC